GCCGUGUACAAUGUUUAGUCCCACCUCGCUAGUUGAGAGGAGCUCGCACCAGUUUAUAAGACCCGUCGCGGCUACCGUGUCGAGCUCCUCUCUAAGCAGGCCUUUGUGGGCCUAUUGCAAGUCUUCUGCCCUGUGGGGCCUACUGGCCCGUACUGGCCUGCAUUCUGGCCCAACUAGAGGUUGGGUUUCUAGUCAUAUGCAGGCCGUGCCGGCCUAGUAGUGGGCUGUUUUUCAAAAAAAAAAAUUCAAAAACAAAAUCCUUUAGUACCGGUUGGUGUUACCAACCGGUACUAAAGGGCUCUCCUCCCCGGGCGAUGGCUUGUACCACGUGGUGGCCCUUUAGCGGCGGUUCGUGCAGAAUCGGUACUAAAGGGGGACCUUUAGUCCCCAACCUUUAGUGCCGGUUACAGAACCGGCACUAAAGGGCCUUACAAACCGGUGCUAUAGCCCGGUUCUGCACUAGUGUCCACUCAUUUUCUGCACAACGAAGAUAUAGGCUACACACCUCCACAUGAUUUCUCUCUCAAAAAAAUAACCUCCACAUGAUUGGCACUCCAAACUCCAAAGAAUUUCCAGCCACAACUCACGUGUGGUCAGGAAGACAAGUCAAGUCAAGUGGAGCAUUAGGUACACGCUCUGCUGUGUAAAAACACACACACACAAAGAUACUUCAAUCCACUCCUUUAUUCUUGCUAGGAGUCUCGCUGCUCUGCCUCACGCGGUCACCGGAGUCUGGUCGACGGCAAGACUCUGGGUUGUUCGACGCUGACUAGCGCGGCCCGGUGGGCGCUGUGCUCUUCAACCCGGUGAAGCCCGGCGGCCACGUCGCACAGAUGAUCGUCCAGGUGAUCGUGACGCCGAAGGUCGCCGAGGUGGAGGACCUCGACGCCACCGUCCGGGGGAAGGGAGGAUUUGGGUCCACCGACGUCUGAACUCCGAGCCUUGGUAGAUACAUCUACGGAAGUGGUUUGUUUGGGUUGGUGGUGAACACUAGGGAAGUUACCCAUGUUUCGAUAAUGGUUGUGUGUGUCUGAUGUUACAUGGAUUCUUGCGAUCUCUUCCAGUUGAGAUGGUUCUGUGACCUUAGUUUAUCUUGCA